GACGGAGGGGGCAAGCGUUGUCCGGACUCACUGGGCGUAAAGGGUGCGUAGGCGGUCUUGUGCGUCGGCGCUGAAAUCAACACGGCUCAACCGUGUGGCGCGUGCCGAUACGACGAGACUUGAGGCUCUGAGAGGGUGGGCGGAACUCCUGGUGUAGUGGUGAAAUGCGUAGAGAUCAGGAAGAACACCCCGUGGCGCAAGCGGCCACCUGGCAGAGUUCUGACGCUGGAGGCACGAAAAGCGUGGGGGAGCGAACCGG
rnacentral:rRNA from 1 species